UACGUAGGGUGCAAGCGUUAAUCGGAAUUACUGGGCGUAAAGCGUGCGCAGGCGGUUUUGUAAGUCUGAUGUGAAAUCCCCGGGCUCAACCUGGGAAUUGCAUUGGAGACUGCAAGGCUAGAGUGUGUCAGAGGGGGGUAGAAUUCCACGUAUAGCAGUGAAAUGCGUAGAGAUGUGGAGGAACACCGAUGGCGAAGGCAGCCUCCUGGGCCAGCACUGACGCUCAUGCACGAAAGCGUGGGGAGCAAACAGG
rnacentral:rRNA from 1 species